GGAUGAAGAACGUAGCGAAAUGCGAUACGUAGUGUGAAUUGCAGAAUUCAGUGAAUCAUCGAAUCUUUGAACGCACAUUGCACCUCUCGGUAUUCCGGGAGGUAUGCCUGUUCGAGCGUCAUUUGUACCCUCAAGCUCUGCUUGGUGUUGGGUGUUUGUUCCGCCUCUGUGUGUGAACUCGCUUCAAAACAAUUGGCAGCCGGCGUACUUGUUUCGGAGCGCAGCACAUUUUGCGAUCCAGAUCAACGUACAGCGGCAUCCAAGAAGCCUUAUUUAACGCUCUUGACCUCGGAUCAGGUAGGGAUACCCGCUGAACUUAAGCAUAUCAAUAAGCGGAGGA
rnacentral:misc_RNA from 1 species